UAUUUAGAUCUAAGUUUUGGAGUUAUUUGAUUGGAGGGCUUUCUAAUGGCAUCAGCUGCGAUUUUCUCGUCUCUAAGGCGGCGGAGAUCGCCGUCGUUGGAGGCGUUCUUGGCUCCUGUUGAUUUAACCGAUGUCGCCCUUAUACAAACCCUGGCAUCGGUGUCAACGGAGCUGGUAUCGUGUUUCUCGGGCAAAUCGUUCUUCUUUCAGCGAAAGAAUUCGCGGUCUCUGAUUCGAAAGAUUGAGCUUUUCGUUGUUCUGUUGGAGUAUUUGAGGGAUUCUGGGUCAGGUCCCAAUUUGUCUUCCACGACGAUUGUUUGUUUUAAGGAGCUCUAUUUGCUUUUGUACCGGUCCAAGAUAUUGCUUGAUUAUUGUGCGCAAUCGAGUAAGUUAUGGCUGUUGCUACAAAACCAGUCCAUUUCGGGGCAUUUUCAUGAUCUGAAUCAGGAAAUAUGGACCCUUUUGGACGUUUUUCCUUUGGGAAAUCUUGAAUUGAGCGACGAUGUUCGGGAGCAGAUUGAGCUCAUGCAAAAACAGACGAGGAAAGCAAGGUUAUAUAUUGAUAAAAACGAUGAGGCUUUGCGGGUUAGGCUCUUUUCAUUUCUUGAUGAGUUUGAGAAUGGGAGGAUUUCUAGUGUGGUGGAGCUGAGGUCGUUCUUUGUGGAUAAUUUGGGGAUAAGGGAUGCCAAGAGUUGUAGAACAGAGAUUGAGUUCUUGGAGGAACAGAUUGUUAAUCAUGAGGGAGAUGUUGAACCAACGGCUUCGGUGCUUAAUGGAUUUGUUGCAAUAACACGGUAUUGUAGGUUUUUGCUUUUUGGGUUUGAGACAAAUGAGGUGGAGUUGCAAUUUGGGAGUCAGAAGAAGCCAAGAAAAGGGUUGAUCUCUCAAGAGAUUGCAGACACUUUUAUCUCUAUACCGAAAGAUUUUUGUUGCCCAAUAUCAUUGGAUUUGAUGCGAGAUCCUGUGAUAAUUUCUACAGGGCAGACAUACGAUCGGAGUUCAAUAUCUAGAUGGGUAGAGGAAGGGCAUUCUACGUGCCCCAAGACAGGGCAAAUGCUCACCAACACCCGCCUUGUCCCCAAUCGAGCUUUGAAGAAUUUGAUUGUACAAUGGUGCACUGCUCAUGGAAUCCCUUUUGAGCCCCCAGAGAACACAGAUUCAUCUGCAGAGGCUUUUGCUGCAACGUUGCCUACCAAAGCUGCAAUAGAAGCCAACAGAGCCACAGCAAGACUUCUCAUUCAACAACUGGCAAAUGGGUCACAAGGUGCAAAAACUGUUGCUGCUCGCGAGAUCCGUUUGUUAGCAAAAACAGGAAAAGAAAACCGUGCUUUCAUUGCCGAAGCUGGGGCAAUUCCCCAUCUCCGCAAGCUGCUAUCAUCUUCAAACCCCGUUGCUCAAGAGAAUUCUGUAACAGCAAUGCUUAAUCUUUCAAUUUAUGAUAAGAACAAAAGCCACAUUAUGGAUGAAGAGGGGUGCUUGGGAUCUAUUGUCGAAGUAUUAAGGUUUGGGCUCACUACAGAGGCAAGGGAAAAUGCAGCAGCAACGUUGUUUAGCCUGUCAGCAGUUCAUGAUUACAAGAAGAGAAUAGCAGAUGAGGAAGGGGCUGUGGAAGCCCUGGCAGGGCUGUUGAGAGUGGGGACACCGCGUGGGAAGAAAGAUGCAGUAACUGCUUUGUUUAAUCUGUCAACUCAUACGGAAAAUUGUGCGAGAAUGAUUGAGGCAGGGGCUGUUACAGCACUAGUAGGUGCUCUGGGAAUUGAAGGGGUUGCAGAGGAAGCAGCAGGAGCAUUGGCUUUGAUUGUGAGGCAGCCAAUUGGGGCUGAAGCAGUGGGUAGGGAGGAAAUGGCUGUCACAGGGUUAAUAGGAAUGAUGCGGUGUGGGACUCCAAGAGGGAAAGAAAAUGCUGUUGCAGCCUUGCUUGAGUUGUGCAGGAGUGGUGGGGCGGCUGCGACUGAGAGAGUAAUCCGUGCACCAGCAUUGGCUGGUUUACUGCAGACUUUGCUGUUCACGGGUACAAAGAGAGCAAGAAGGAAGGCAGCAUCACUUGCUAGAGUGUUUCAAAGGUGUGAGAAUUAUGCCUUGCAUUUUGGUGGAUUGGGUGCUGGAUAUGCAUUUGCUGGCAACUCUGCUACAAAUCGGGAUUCAAGUUUCGUUGGUGAUGUCUCAGUGGCCAUGUCCAUCUCAGUACCCGUUUUGUAAUGGUAACAAACAGUCUUGUCGUUGUCUACCAUGAUUAUAUGUGUCCGUUUUUUGGUUCGUAAUAUUUACAAAUUCUUUCAUUGAAAUUUAGAUGAUAAAAGAGAAUUUUAC
rnacentral:misc_RNA from 1 species